rnacentral:rRNA from 1 species
UACGAAGGGGGCUAGCGUUGCUCGGAAUGACUGGGCGUAAAGGGCGCGUAGGCGGCGCGGGGAGUCAACGGUGAAAGCUCGGCGCUCAACGCCGAGUCGGCCGUCGAUACUCCCGUGCUUGAGCACUGUAGAGGCAGGUGGAAUUCCGGGUGUAGCGGUGGAAUGCGUAGAUAUCGAGAGGAACACCAGUGGCGAAGGCGAGUCCCUGGACAACUUCUGACGCUGAGGCACGAAAGCUAGGGGAGCAAACAGG